GCUCGCGGCCCACGGGGAGAGGGUGUUGUCGUGAACUUUCAUGAGGUUGUCUUUGUCGAUGACACCCGGGCCACGGUGGGGGCACUAACCCCCGGGGGGAGGGGUCCUGGGAAUGAAUCGUAGCCCAGCGCUUGGCCUUGAACAGGAUAUUAGUGGAAAUAUUGCUGUGGUUGUCAGGAAACGCGAGUGCAGCCGCACAGCUACUGCCAGUUAUGCAGCGAGGAUAUCCGGUGGCUGCGAGGUCUGUAAUUUAGAAUAAAAAGCUCUCCCAACACCCGAGAGGCUGACCUCAGCGCCGCGUGGCGGUAAUGCGCUCAGCGCCCUCUGUGGAGACGGUCCAAAUCCUGACAGGUGGGAGAGCUUAGGUUAGACCUUCAAGAGCCCUGCAGAUGGACCUGCAGAAUCAGACAGCAAAAGUGAGCCAGCCACUUGCUAACGUAGUUAAAGUGGAGGGCACGGAUCGCCUGCCCGUUAACAACAUUAAUAAGUAGUGUUUUCCAGGGCAGACUGCUACUUCCACGUUGGGUUCUUUACAAGUGAGUAACUGACUGCUGUUCACGAAGCCAGAAGCGUGUAUCUGCAGUGCCACGAGGCUGGAGAAGGAUCCAGGACCACACAGCUGUCUUCUUAGAUAAAUCUGACCCACUUGGCCUUCUCUGGAGGGAUGUUUUGUGCUGACUCACGAGCAACAGGACGGUAUGGCCCAAUAAGCAGCUCCCAUUUUUCGAGGAGUGCUGGGUUCACAGAUGUGCACCACCCUAGUCCAGCUUCUUCUGUGGGUUCUAGACCUGAAACUCAGGUCAUCAGGAUGGCAUGGAUGCCAUGCGACCAUCAGCUCUGCUCUGCGACGCAUGCAAUCUCUUCAUCACACGCUGCCUCAUGACAAACAAGAGCUCAGGGCCAAUGGGUCUAAACCUCCAAAAUC